rnacentral:lncRNA from 14 species
UAUUUUGCCUUAUUUUCACAGACAAUGCUGUCCUCCCAUUGCAUCUGGUUUCCUUAUGAGUUGUGGAAUCAUUAGGAGCAGAUCUGUGCUUUCCACUUACCCAGGCAUCCUCACACCAGAUACAGAGCACGGAGUGGCAGAGCAUGAGGCUGGACACUGGACAGGAGGAAACAAUGCAGCUCCCAUUGGGUAGAAG